GAACUUAAGCAUAUCAAUAAGCGGAGGAAAAGAAACCAACUGGGAUUGCCUCAGUAACGGCGAGUGAAGCGGCAUCAGCUCAGAUUUGAAAUCUGGUUCUUUCAGAGCCUGAGUUGUAAUCUGUAGAGGAGUCUUCGGGUUUGGAUCUGGCCUAAGUUUCUUGGAACAGAACGUCAUAGAGGGUGAGAGUCCCGUAUGAGGCCAGCUACCUAUUCCCAUGUGAAGCUUCUUCGACGAGUCGAGUUGUUUGGGAAUGCAGCUCAAAAUGGGUGGUAAAUUUCAUCUAAAGCUAAAUAUUGGCGGGAGACCGAUAGCGCACAAGUAGAGUGAUCGAAAGAUGAAAAGCACUUUGAAAAGAGAGUUAAAAAGUACGUGAAAUUGUUGAAAGGGAAACGCUUGCGAUUAGACUUGCGCUCAGGUGAUCAACCGGUGUUCUCACCGGUGCACUCUCCUGCUUGCAGGCCAGCAUCGGUUUGGGCGGUUGGAUAAAGGCCCUAGGAAUGUAGCUGCCUUCGGGCAGUGUUAUAGCCUAGGGUGUAAUGCAGCCAGCCUGGACCGAGGACCGCGCUUCGGCUAGGAUGCUGGCAUAAUGGUCGUAAGCGACCCGUCUUGAAACACGGACCAAGGAGUCUAACAUCUAUGCGAGUGUUUGGGUGGAAAACCCAAGCGCGUAAUGAAAGUGAACGUAGGUGAGAACCCCUAAGGGUGCAUCAUCGACCGAUCUUGAUGUCUUCGGAUGGAUUUGAGUAAGAGCAUAGCUGUUGGGACCCGAAA
rnacentral:rRNA from 1 species